UACAGUGGCUUGCAAAAGUAUUCGACCCCCUUGAACUUUCCCACAUUUUGUCACAUUACAGCCACAAACAUGAAUCAAUUUUAUUGGAAUUUCUGUCACGCUGGUGGACGGACUCAAGCGCAGACGAGGCAGCUAAAAUACAGUUCCUUUUAUUGAUACACCACACCAGGUGCGACUAUAUACAGUUUGACCUGCAAGCGUACUCAGGUUUCUUCAUAUCAGGGCAAUCUUGGAAGACACCUGCUCAUCAAUGCAGUCAGGCCGGGCGAGUCCCCUCACCCACACUGGCUCCAGCUAAACCCUGCAUCAUCUACUGGGUAAGACCCAGUAGAAAAUCACCGUCCUGUACAGGGGGGUGGAUACUGAAAAUUGACAAAUAUAUUCUCUCUAGAUUUGAUUAGAAGCACUGUGUUACCCACACUGUGAGUGUUUUUUGUGCUUCUGUUUUUAUUUCAAGUUGACUAGUUUUUGACUUGGUAAAGUCAAGCCAGUUUAACUCACAUGUAGUAAAAAUGUAACUCACAUAUCUUUCUAUCCCUCCUGCACCUUCUAUUCUUCUGCAGCUACAGGAGAAUAGAAUCGUCAGAUUACCUCUUUAUGUAAAGCUUUAGGGAUGUAGUUCUCCCUUGCCUCUUGUUUAGGUUGAGUUUACAGAAAUGUAGCUGCAGUUAAUAGUCAAUGUUAAGUCUAUUAUUCCGGUAUCACGUUUCUUUGAAUCAAACAUGACCAGUGUUGGGUGACACUGUUUAACCUUUAAAAAUGUAAGCUGGCUUGAGAACCACCUUGUACAUGUAAAUGCUUCCUGUGUGUGAAUGACAAAGCAACAUCAAAUCGGCAGUCAUAAACAAAACAUUUUUAAACUUCUGCACUGGCUAACACUGUGAUGAGUCUCGAAGUGAUGCUAAUACAUUCAGUCUGGUCACAGUAAAGUUUUCAGUUACAAAUAAGUCGGUACAAGAGAGCUGACAAGUUGUUAGUGUGUGAUAUACCCAUGUUCCAGACUGAUAACAAUACUAUCAAUAAUAUCAGUAUCUUUAUGCCAUUGAGAUACUAUAACAACUAUUUAACCUGAUCCAUAGUGUUGUAGAGAGUGUUGGUGUUAAUGUAUGUUUGGGGGAUUUGCACCCUGGAACCUUCAGAGGUUUUUCAGGGCUUUCCCUGUCGGAAUGUUAUGUGGGAAACAGGUUCCUGUAUGUGUUGUGGCUAACUGUUGAUGCCUCCGAAAGUGGUCAUUAAACGUCCUGAUAGUGGACCCUGAGUUUCUGAGCUUUAUUAUCCUGAGGUUAUAACACAUAGUAUUUAAUGGACAGUUGUUACUGGUGGCUUUCCCUCUGUGAGCUGCUGGGAGACCUUAUGGGGUUUUUAUGCUUGAUGUGUUGUUUGUGUUGCGGGUAUUGUAAGACAAUUUGUGACAUCACAUCCUGAUUUUACCAAUUUAAAGGCAGCACAUCAGCUGAUCAUUCACCUUUGGAUUUUUGUAACUUGGCGCAUUGCGCACGGCCAUCGCAGCUGGGUUGAAAACAUGAGAGAACAAUUGUGCUGAUUUUUUACCACCAUUUGGAUGAAAAUGCAGUACAGAAGCUACUGACACAGUGUGGGAGAUGUUGCAACUGUUUCAAAGCUUGAGUUUGUGGAAAGAACAUUGCAAAAAAUCCCACAUUUGACAAAGUUUUGGUUUCCAGGUUUUCAGUUUUGACUCUUUAAAAAAACCCAAAACUGUCUGACGUGAUAUUGUCUGAGUGGUGACGCCUGUCAUUUACAAGAUUAUUGCGGGUAUACAUGAUGUAUCAUUCUCUCUAG
rnacentral:lncRNA from 1 species